CGUGUCAUUCAUUCAACAACACUCUCUCUCUCUCAACCGUCUCGGCUUCUCUCUUUCUCCCGAGGCAAAACGGUGAUCUCUCUCAACCGUCUCAGACUCGUUGACUGCAUCAGGCAGAGUCGGUGGAAUCGUCGUCUCUCUCUCUAACCUCGACGACUCUGCGUCUCCCUCGCAUUCAGCCUCGAAGAUUCCGCCUCCAAUUGAUUAUUGAAUCGAAAACCAUCCAAUUGAUUAUUGAAUCAAUUAUUAGUAAAGGAAUCAAUUUUGUCAUGUUUUGACAGGAAGGAUGAAUGGUUCUCGUAAGCAAUCAAUCGUCUACACUGUUCGAGAUUACCAACCGCUAGAAGAAAGCAGCGUCGCUUGUUCUGCCUCGACGACGGACGAAGCAAGAAGCUUAACGAUGCGGCACGGAUUGAUCGGCCGAUGUUGAAAUGUCCAGUUUGCUCCUGCAGCUGGUGUUCGUCAGUACGAUUGGAGCAGGAAAUAGAUUGUUCUCAUUGUCAGUUACAUAGAUUGGUAAUUUAGUUAGCCUUGGGCCGAGAGAGUCAUGCGAGGUCUUCCAUGAUCCUGACAAGGGAAAAGGUAGUGAUGAAGGUAAAGUGAGGAAAGUGCUGAAAGUUGAACCCCUUCCAGAUGGUUCUGGCCGCUUCUUUAACCUGAGUGUUCAAAACAAGCUGUUGAAUGUAGAUGAAGGUGUUCAAAACUAAAGUAGAGUUUGCUGUUCUUAUCUCUACUUUCAACGUGAGCCCUCUCUUUAUCUCUUUGUAAAUAAAACAUUUGCCUCUAUUUUAACCUUGUACAUUGUGUCGCAGUUCAUCUUGCCGCACCUUAUAGACUGGCAUGCAUUUGGGUACAUGUUUUGCUUAAAACAUUGUCCUGUAUAUAGUUUAAGAUUAACAGAGUUGAGUUGAGUACAUGUUUUGCUUAAUUUUUUAAGAACCCUAAAUUAAGAGACUUGCAAUGGAGUACAUAAAUUUUCAGGUCUCUUAAUCCAGUCUCUUAAUUCACUUUUGCAUUUUAAAAGUAUAAAAAAAUAAAUAAGAGACCCAUUUAGGGUAUGUGGGAUAAUGAUG